ACCCUCGGGUGACAGGGAGACAGGUGGUGCAUGGUUGUCGUCAGCUCGUGUCGUGAGAUGUUGGGUUAAGUCCCGCAACGAGCGCAACCCCUACGUUUAGUUGCUAACGCGUGAAGGCGAGCACUCUAGACGAACUGCCGUUGACAAAACGGAGGAAGUGGGAUGACGUCAAAUCAUCAUGCCCCUUAUGUUCUGGGCUACACACGUGCUACAAUGGCCGGUACAGACGGACGCAAAGCCGCGAGGUGGAGCAAAUCCUAAAAAGCCGGUCUCAGUUCGGAUUGCAGGCUGCAAUUCGCCUGCAUGAAGUCGGAAUCGCUAGUAAUCGCAGGUCAGCAUACUGCGGUGAAUACGUUCCCGGGCCUU
rnacentral:rRNA from 1 species